ACUCAAAUGAAUUGACGGGGGCCCGCACAAGCAGCGGAGCGUGUGGUUUAAUUCGAGGCUACACGAAGAACCUUACCUGGGUUUGACAUGAUGCUUGUAGGGAACCGAAAGGGGACCGACCCGCAAGGGAGGCAUCACAGGUGCUGCAUGGCUGUCGUCAGCUCGUGCCGUGAGGUGUUAGGUUAAGUCCUGUAACGAGCGCAACCCUCGGAUCUAGUUACACGUUGUCUAGAUCAACUGCCCGUGACAAGCGGGAGGAAGGUGGGGAUGACGUCAAGUCAGCAUGGCCUUUAUAUCCAGGGCUACACACACGCUACAAUGGCCGGUACAAUGGGUCGCCAAGGGGUAACCCGGAGCCAAUCCAAUCAAAGCCGGUCACAGUUCGGAUUGAGGGCUGCAACCCGCCCUCAUGAAGUCGGAGUUGCUAGUAAACGCGCAUCAGCCAUGGCGCGUUGAAUACGUUCCCGGGCCUUGUACACACCGCCCGU
rnacentral:rRNA from 1 species